GUCAUAAUAGUGUAGUGGUUAGCAUAGGAGUCUGUGGAGCUUCUGGCCCGGGUUCAAAUCCCGGUUAUGACC
rnacentral:tRNA from 1 species